rnacentral:lncRNA from 1 species
AACAACACGACGCUUGACCACAGUCAAAACAAACCUUUCUGAGCGUUUUAAAGAUAUAAAAGUAAAUUUCCUGCAGGUGACAGUCAGUGAGAGCCUUUAAAUGUCACUUAUCAGCACACAUUUCAGCCCUUUCAAGCAAAAAAUGCGACUAUCACUGGAUAAUGUGCAGGAAUGCUGGACACUCCAUCACCUGUUUGUCCGAGCCAUCACCGCUGUGUUGUCUUACCGCCCCAGCAUGGUCCUUUCCUUUGCCGCUCAGUUGUCUUACCACCCCAGAUGAGCUUGUGAUUCAUUGAACACAGCUGGCAGAUCCUUUAGGGUUCAUCAGUCCAACUGCUUCUGAGCUGGACCUGAGAGAGACAUCUAGUGCUCAAUGCUGAAAUUACAGCUCAUUCACAAACAAAUGAGUGGAAUAUUGUUGCAGCUCUGCAAGACCAUGUUUCCCAUGAUGCUUCAGAUGACCAGUUCAAAGUGAUUUCCCUGCAGUCUUCCAAGCUUAAGAGCUUCAAACGCAGGACGGACACAAGAGAUCU